AUUGAACGCUGGCGGCAUGCCUUACACACGCAAGUCGAACGGCAGCACGGGGCAACCUGGUGGCGAGUGGCGAACGGGUGAGUAAUGCAUCGGAACGUACCUUUCAGUGGGGGAUAACGUAGCGAAAGUUACGCUAAUACCGCAUAUUCUGUGAGCAGGAAAGCAGGGGAUCGCAAGACCUUGCGCUGAUUGAGCGGCCGAUGUCAGAUUAGCUAGUUGGUGAGGUAAAGGCUAACCAAGGCGACGAUCUGUAGCGGGUCUGAGAGGAUGAUCCGCCACACUGGAACUGAGACACGGUCCAGACUCCUACGGGAGGCAGCAGUGGGGAAUUUUGGACAAUGGGGGCAACCCUGAUCCAGCCAUGCCGCGUGAGUGAAGAAGGCCUUCGGGUUGUAAAGCUCUUUCGGCCGGGAAGAAAUCGCACGGGCUAAUACCCUGUGUGGAUGACGGUACCGGAAUAAGAAGCACCGGCUAACUACGUGCCAGCAGCCGCCGUAAGAC
rnacentral:rRNA from 1 species